rnacentral:lncRNA from 1 species
GUUCUCCCCGCAGGUGCUGCAUGGAGUGAGUGGCGGCAUCCACCGUGAGGAGGAGAGGAGCUCUGAUACCCUCAGGACCCGCCAGGAGGGGCAUCACGGAGGCUUCUGGACGACUUGGAGCUGUGUCCUGGGGAGAAAACCGCUCCUGUCUGGGCCCUGAGUGCUGAGGAGGAAGCUGCCAUGCACUUUUCCCUGGCAUUUUUCCUGCAUGGUUCGUCUGUGUUUUUGCAAAUGACAUGUUGUCAUGAAUUUUUAUGCAUGAGGCAUAUUUCAUCAUGUCUGUAUGCUGAAGUCCCUUCAUCCUUUCAUUGGUUGGUGGACAGGAGAGAGAGGUCCAAGGUGCCCUACAUCGUGCGUCAGUGCGUGGAGGAGAUCGAGCGCCGAGGCAUGGAGGAGGUGGGCAUCUACCGCAUGUCUGGGGUGGCCGCAGACAUCCAGGCACUGAAGGCAGGCUUCAACGUCAAUAACAAGGACGUGUCAGUGAUGAUGAGCGAGAUGGACGUGAACGCCAUCGCAGGCAUGCUGAAGCUGUACUUCCGUGAGCUGCCCGAGCCCCUCUUCACUGACGAGUUCUACCCCAACUUCGCAGAGGGCAUCGGAUGGCAGAGAAGGAGGCAGUCAAUAAGAUGUCCCUGCACAACCUUGGCACGGUGUUUGGCCCCACGCUGCUCCGGCCCUCCGAGAAGGAGAGCAAGCUCCCUGCCAACCCCAGCCAGCCCAUCACCAUGACUGACAGCUGGUCCUUGGAGGUCAUGUCCCAGGGUCCCAGGGCUGGUGGUUGCUUUGGGUCUACAGCUACGUCUUACCCGCCUCCUGCCUCAACAGCCUGUGUGGUGGCAAAGCCGGUGUGGGGCUGGGGAACGCAGCGUUCUCCAGGAGGGGGACCCGGCUCUCCUUCUGCAAUGCAGGCGAAGGCCUAGAUGCCAGUGUGACCUCCCACAAGGCGUGGCUUCCAGACUCCCCGGCCGGAAGUGAUGCUUUUUUGCCGUGGGCCCUGGGUUUGAAGCAGCCUGGCUUUCUCUUGGUAAGUGGCUGGUGUCUUAGCAGCUGCAAUCUGAGCUCAGCCACCUACACACCACCGUGGCCGACACUUUCAUUAAGAAGUUUCCUGAGAC